UGUACGCAAUGUCGUCCUGGAGCUCCUCGGACGGAUUUACUGCCGCUGGGUCCAUGGUGGCUGGUUUGUAAUGGCCUGCAUUUGUAUAGCGCUUUUCUAGUCCAUAGGACCCCAAAGCACUUUACACUACAUUCAGUCAUCUACCCAUUCACACACACAUUCACACACUGGCGAUAGCAAGCUACAUUGUAGCCACAGCUGCCCUGGGGCGCACUGACAGAGGCGAGGCUGCCGGACACAGGCGCCACCUGGCCCUCUGACCACCACCAGUAGGCAAACAUGGGGUUAGUAUCUUGCCCAAGGAUAUUUGCCAUGCAGCCAGGAUGCAGCCUGGGAUCGAACCACCGACCUUCUGAUUAGUGGCUGGAGAAAGGACCCAAAAGGCGGCAGCUCUGGUGCAGGUGCGUGUUUAUUUACAGCAGUGGGUACAAACAGCAACGGGUGUGAACAUGAAACCGAAAACCUAAACUGGGUAAACUAACAACACAAACCAGGAAUGACGGUGCAGGGAGAUCCGGGGAAAUACACAUGAAGAAACGCAGGGAGACCGAGGGGAAACAACACAGACGAACCAGCGAUCACUAAGACAGAAAAUACAACUUAAAUACACUCAGAACACAGGGAGAUUACACACAGGUGGGAGACACAGCUGGGAGUGAUUAACAUGACGAGACCAGGGAGGCAAACUGAAAACACUCACAUAAGACGCAGACCUUCACAAUAAAACAGGAACACACGGGGGGGGGACAGGGUAAACACCAAUUAGAGAACAGAACCAAAAUCGCGAAGAGAAAACACAAAACGCUGGGUCAAAAGGACCCAGGAUCAUGACAUUAAUAAAGGAAAGUUUUAAGCCUAAUCUUAAGAGUAGAGAGGAUGUCUGUCUCAUGAAGGUUGAGGGCUCUGCCUCACAUUCUACUUUAAAAUAUUCCAGGAACCAGAAGUAAACCAGCAGCCUGAGAAUGAAGCGCUCUAUUGGGCUGAUAGAGUACUAUGAAGACUUAAAGACUGGGCCUGAUUAUUCAAGACCUUGUGAGUGGGAAGAAGGAUUUUCCAUGGAUAGAACUGAAAGCACCCACAAGAUAAACAGGUGUAUCCCAAUAGGCCUCAGUCAAGGUCAGAGUUCAUCAUUCAACAAUAAGAAGACGACUGGGCUGGGUGUUACAAGUAUGUAAAAACCUAAGAAACCAAUAAAGGAGCAAAUUCUUUUUCACAUCAACUGUAAAUUAUUGCACCCAAGGUCUUAACAGCAUCAACCUAAAAAAAAAUUAAGAGCCUGAAACUCUUAUCUUGCAGUAUUUUUAACCAGUGAUGCCAGUCUUAGACUUGGUACACACAUUAAACAUGUGGUACACAGAGCUCACAAUGCAAGGUUGGCAAAGAUUUAUACCAGCAUGGGGCCAUUAUGCCCUCAUAGCAGAGGCCAGCCAACAGACUUCAUCCACAUGUUCUGGCUCAGGCCAAGGAGCUGCACCUUCCUACAAGUAUAUAUCAAAGUUUUUGGUAAGAUGUUUGGAAUCCAAUUUGACCCAGAUUGACUCUGUCUCCACAUAUAAAAUGAAAUUCAUGUGUUCAUUGCUUUCACCACACUUACAACAAGACAACUGUACAUUGCAAAGUUGAAGCAGUGUGCCCCUUCAGCCUUGUCUCAAUGACUCUAAGUUGGC
ensembl:lncRNA